CUGGAUUCAGGUCAUGGCCUCACAAACUGACCAGGCUGCCCAGGUGUGAGCCUGCCGGAGGACUCUGGAAGGUGGGGGUGGUCGGAAUGCUUGAGCUCAGGAGUUGGAGACCCACCUGGGCAACACAGCCCGUCUUUACAAAAAGUUUAAAAUUAGUCGAGCCUGGUGGUGGGAGCCUGAGGUCCCAGCUACUCAGGAGGCUGAGGUGGGAUGAUCACCUGAGCCCAGAAGGUGGAGGCUGCAGUGAACGGAGACUGCACUCCAGCCUGUGCAAGGGGAACUCCGUCUCAAAAAAAAAAAGCAUGCUCUCCUCUGAUUCAGCUCCUCCUCUCUGAUGUGAAAUCCUUUCAGAUGGAACGUGUUGAAGUCACAGACAUGCUGCUCGCCCCACCCACAGAGUGCAAUCAAGUCUUAGUUUGUCCUUUUGUCCCUUUAACAUUUGCCCAGCAGAGACCGUCUUCCCCUGCUCAGUGGAAAACUCCAGACAUCACAGACCCUUCUGCUCCCUCUCUGGUUAAAGGGCAUCCUGAGGGCCACAUUAAGUCACAAAACAUCAUUUUGAUUCAGGAACCAGAAGUCCAAGAUUUCAAUCAACACUUUCAUCUGCUAUUUAGUCAACUUCAUGGAGAUCUACUUUACAUACAAUAAACCACAUCCGUGUAAAGUACACAAGCGGUCGGAGGAUUUUCCACUGUGUUGGCCAAACGUCACCGCCUUUGCCCAUCACCUGCCAGUGGGUGCCUGGGCUGCUCCCAGUUCCUGGUGACUGGAUGGAGCUGCGGCCAAGGUCCUGGCACAUGUCAUCAUGUGGACAUCUGUCUUCAUUUCUCUUGGGAGCAGAGUGGCUGGCUCACAGGGAGGUGCACGUUUAACUUUCUAAGGAACUGCAGCCGUCUUCCACAGUGGCUGUGCUGUAUACCCUCCCACUGGCGAUGUGGGUGCACGCAGGGUGUCCGUGCAUGUGCAGGAGUAUCUCUGUGUCGUUACAAUCUGCAUUUCCCUGAAGACUAAUGAUGGCAUCUUUCCAUGUGUUUAUUAGCCACUUAUAUAUCUUCUUUCUGAAGUGCCUACUCACAUCUUCUGCCCAUUUUGUUUAAUUGGGUGGAGUUGCAACAUAUACCUUUUUUUUUUUGGCAGGGGUGGGGGGCAUAGGGUUUCACUCUGUUGCCCAGGCUGGAGUGCAGUAGUGGGAUCGUGGCUCACUGCAGCCUUGACCUCCAGGGCUUACGCGAUACUCCUACAUCAGCCUCCCGAGUAGCUGAGACUACAGGUGCAUGCUGCCAUGUUGACCUCCGGGGCUUAAGUGAUCCUCCUACCUCAGCCUCUCGAGUAGCUGAGACUAGAGGUGUGCGUCACCACCACGCUCAGCUAAAACACAUAUUCUUCAUCAGACUUAUGUAUUGCAAAUAUUUUCUUCCAUCCUGUGGUUUGUCUUAUCAUCUUUUUUUUUUUGAAUUGGAGUCUCUGUCGCCCAGGCUGGAGUGCAGUGGCGUGAUCUCAGUUCACUGCAAGCCCCGCCUUCUGGGUUCACACCAUUCUCCUGCCUCAGCCUCCUGAGUAGCUGGGACUACAGGUGCCCGCCACCACGCCCGGCUAAUUUUUUGUAUUUUUAGUAGAGACGGGGUUGCACCAUGUUGGCCAGGAUGGUCUCGAUCUCCUGACUUUGUGAUCCGCCUGCCUUGGCCUCCCAAAGUGCUAGGAUUACAGGCAUGAGCCACCUUGCCCGGCCCCCGUCUUAUCAUUUUUUUAUGGACAUCUUUUGAAGAGCAAAUGUUUUUAAUUUUAAUGAAAUUUUUAAUAAAAUUGAAUGCAUCCAUUUUUCCUUUUGUGGUUCUUGUUUUUUAUGUCCUAAGAAAUCUCUGCCUUGACCUCAUGGUCACUAAGAUUUACUGCUUUCUUCCAGAAGUGUUACAGUUUUAGCUUUUGCAUUCUGAGUCACCUUUGUGUAUGGUGAAAUGCAGGUCAAGCGUCAUUUCUUUCCUUAUGUAUAAACAGUUGCUAAAAAGACUUUUCUUUCCAUGUGGAAUUACGUUGACAUCUUCAUUGAAAAUCAAUGGACUAUAGAGGUGGGGUCUAUUUCCAGUCUUUCUAUUCUGUUCCACUCACCUGUGUGUCUAUUCUUCAGGGACACUGCGGCUGACUGGAUUACUGAAGCUGUAAGUAGAAUAGAAACUUUGAAAUCAGGGCACGUAUCAGCUCCACUUUGAUUAAUUGCUUUGGCAAUUCCAGGUCACAUGUGUUUCCAUUUUAGACUCAUUGUGUCAAUUCCUACAAAAAAGCCUGCUGCGAUUUUGACUGGCAGAGCCGAUGUUUUAACAGGAUUGAGUCUUUUCAUCACGGACAUGCUGUCUCUCUUCAUCCCUCCGCAUCUUCUUCAAUUUAUCUCAGCAGUGUUUAUAGUUUUCAGUGAACAGGUCUUGUAUAUCUUUUGUUAAGAUAAUUACUAAGAUUUUACUUUUUGUUAUUACAAAUAGAAUGUAAUUUCUGAUUUCAUGUUCCGAUAGUUUGCUGCUACUAUAUAACGAUAAACUUUGCACCUUAGCCUUGAUAUCUGAAAUCUUGCUAAAUUCACUUAAUAGUUCUAGCAAUUCUCUGUAGCUUUCUUAGGACCCUCUGCAUAAAUAAUCAUGUCAUCUACAAAUAAAUACAGUUUACUUCUUCCUUUCUAAUCCUUGUGACUUCAAUUUGCCUUUUUUCUUACCUUAUUGCAGUGGCUGGGACUUUGAGUAUAAUGUUGGACAGAAGAGUGAGAAUGGGUGUCAUCCUUGUUCUUGAUUUUAGGGAUAAAAUGCUCAAUAUUUCGCCAUCAAAAGUACAACGUCUAGUGUAGGUUUUUCAUAGAUGUUCAUUUAUCAGACUCAGGGAGUUUCCUUCUAUUCUUAGUUUACUGAGGUUUUUUUAAAAAAAUCAUAAAACAGGUAUAAAUGUUUCCAAAUGUCUUUUCUGCAUCUAUUUCAGUGAUCAUCCUUUCCUUCUUUAUUCUAGUAAUAUGGUGACGACAAAGAUUCAUUUAUGAAUCAAAACAACCUUGUAUCACUAGGAUAAACCACACUUGGCCGAGGUGUACUGCCCUCUUAGGCUAUUGUUGGAUUUCACCUGCCAAUACCUUCGUAAGGAUUUUUGCCUGUGUUCAUGAAGGAUAGUGGUCUAUAAUUUUUUUUAGGUGUCUUUGUCAGGUUUUGGUAUUGGAUUAUAUUGCCUCAUAAAACAAGCUGGGAAAUAGGCCCUCCUUUUUUUAAAGAGAGACAGGGUCUCACUCUGUUGCCAGGCUGGAGUGUAGUGGUGCGAUCAUGGCUCACUGCCGCCUUGAGCUCCUGGGAUCAAGGGAUCCUCCCACCUCAGCCUCCCAAGUAGCUGGGGCUACAGGUAUAAUUUUUUUUGUACACAGGGUCUCACUAUAUUGUCCAGGCUGGUCUCGAACUCCUGGCCUCAGGUGAUCCUCCUGCCUCAGCCUCCCAAAGUGCUGGGAUUACACGUGGGAGCCACAGCACCCGUUCCCCCUCCUCUUUUAUUUUCUGAAAGAGUUUGUGUAAGAAUAUUGUGAUUUCUUCUUUGAAUGUUUGAUAGAAUUCACCAGGAAACCAUGUAUAUUUGCAGGAGUUUUCUUGGUAGGUAGGUUCUCCGGUAAUUAAUUCAAUUUCCUGAACAGAAAGAGGACCAUGCAGAUUUCCAUUGCUUUUGACAAGUUAUAUUCUUCCAAGAGUUUAUCCAUUGCAUUGAAAUUGCUACAUUUACUGGCCUAAAAUUGUUCAUCAUAGUCUCCUAUUAUUUUGAGACAUGGCCUCACUCUGUCACCCAGGCUGGAGCAAAGUGGUGUGACCUCAGCUCACCACAGCCUCAGUCUCCCAGGCCCAGGCCAUCCUCCCACCUCAGCCUCCCAAGUAGCUGGAACACAAGCAAGUGCUGCCACACCUGGCUAAUUUUUUGAUUUUUUGUAGAGACAGGGUCUCGCUAUGAAACAAAACUGAAGCAUGAUGUUGCUGGUCUUGAACUCCUGGGCUCAAACAAUCCUCCUGCCUCGGUCUCCCAAAGUGCUGGGAUUACAGGUGUGAGCCACCAGAGAUGGCAAUAGUCUAUUACUAUGUCUAUAGGAUCCUUAGAAAUAAUGCCUCUUUUGUUCUUGAUAUUGGUGAUUUGUGCUAUCUGUUUCUUUUGAGACCGAGUCUCACUCUGUUGCCCAGGCUGGAGUGCAGUGGCAUGAUCUCGGCUCACUGCAACCUCUGCCUCCCGGGUUCAAGCGAUUCUUGUGCCUCAGCCUCCUGAGCAGCUGGGAUUACAGGCACCCACCACCAUGCCUGGCUAAUUUUUGUAUUUUUAGUAGAGACAGGGUUUCACCAUGUUGGCCAGCCUGGUCUCACUUCUGACCUCAAGUGAUCCGCCCACCUUGGCAUCCCAAAGUGCUGGGAUUACAAGUGUGAGCCACCGUGCUUGGCCUAUCUUUCUAUUUGUUUGUUUGCUUUUCAAACAGGUCUCUCUCUGUCGCCUGGGCUGGAGUGCAGUGGUGUGAUCACAGUUCACUGCAGCCUCAACCUCCUGGGCUCAAGCGAUCCUCCCACCUCAGCCUUCUGACUAGCCAGGACUACAGGCUCGAGCCACCACACCCAGCUCAUUAAAUUUUUUUUUUUUUUUUUUUGUAGAGAUGGGGUCUCCUUCUGAUUCCCAGGCUGGUCUUAAACUCCUGGGUUCAAGCAGUCCUCCCACCUAUGCCUCCCAAAGUGCUGGGAUUACAGGCGUGAACCACCCACCUCACCUGGCUCUUUCUUCUUUCUUAAAAUUGACCAUUCUUAGUAGAGGUUUGUCAAUCUUUCCAAUCUUUUAGGGAAAAAAUCAGCUUUUGAUAUUGUUAAGUUUCUCCAUUUUUCUCAUGCUUUCUAUGCCACUGAUUUCUGUAUUUGUCUUUAUUUCCCUUUUUUGGCUUUGUUCUUUUUUCCCUGGCUUCUGGGAGUGAAUCUUAGGUCUCUGCUUUCAUGCCUUUACACGCACUUAGUUACAGAGUUCUAAGUAUUGCUUUAGCUACACCAACAAUUUUGAUGUUAUAUUUUCAUUAUUAUUCAGUUGGAAAUAUUUUUUCUUCUUCUGUUAUUUUUUCCCCACCUGAGUUACAAAUUUUUUUUUUUUGAAACAGUCUCGCUCUGUCACCCAGGCUGGAGUGCAGUGGUGCGAUCUUGGCUCACUGCCAGCUCCACCUCUAGGGUUUUUAAGCAAUUCUCUGCCCCAGCCGCCCGAGUAGCUGGGAUUACAGGUGUGCACCACCACGCCCAGCUAAUUUUUUAAACUUUUAGUAGAGAUGGGGUUUCACCAUGCUGGCCAGGAUAGUCUUGAACUCCUGUCCUUCUGAUCCACCCACCUCGACCUCCCAAAGUGCAGGGAUUACAUGUGUGAGCCACUGCGCCUGGCCCCAGCCUGGAAAUAUUUUCUAAUUUCCCAUUUGAGUUCUUCUUUGACCCAUGGUUUAUUCAAUAGUGGGUUAAUUUCCAAACAUUUGAGUUUUUCCUAUUUUAUUUGUGGUUGAUUUCUAAUUUAAUUCCUCUGUGCUCAGAAAGCAUACUUUGUAUGAUUCUUUUAAAAUUCGUUGGAACUUGUUUUAGGACACAGCAGUUGGUCUGUGUUGGAAAAUGUAUCAUGUGCACUUAGGAGUAUUGGCGUAACUUUUUCUUUUUGUUUUUGAGAAGAGUUUUGCUCUUCUUGCCCAGGCUGGGGUGCAGUGGCACGAUCUCGGGUCACUCCGUCUUUUGGGUUCACACCAUUCUCCUGCCUCAGCCUCCCGAGGAGCUGGGAUUACAGCUGCCCGCCACCACGUCCAGCGAAUUUUUGUAUUUUUAGUAUAGAUGGGGUUUCGCCAUGUUGGCUAGGUCGGUCCUGAACUUCUGACCUCAGGUGAUCCACCCGACUCGGGCUCCCAAAGUGCCUGGAUUACAAGCUUGAGCCCCCAUGUGCAGCCUGAUAUGUGUAACUUCCUAUAAAUACCAUUCAGGUCAACAUGAUGAUACUGUUACUCAGAUCCCCCAUGUCUUCACUGAUGUGUUUGGUUUAUUGUUCCAAGAAUCGGAGACAGAGAGGUUAAAAUCUCCGACUAUGAUUGUGGGUUGUCUAUUGAUGUUUUUGGUCUAUUCUAAGAAUCGGAGAGAGAGAGGUUAAAAUCUCUGACGAUGAUUGUGGAUUGUCUAUUGAUGUUUUUGGUCUAUUAUUCUAAGAAUCGGAGAGAGAUUAAAAUCUCCAACUAUGAUUGUGGGUUGUCUAUUGAUGUUUUUGGUCUAUUGUUCUAAGAAUCAGAGAGAGAGAGAGGUUAAAAUCUCCGACUAUGAUUGUGGGUUGUCUUAUUGAUGUUUUUGGUCUAUUGUUCUAAGAAUUGGAGACAGAGAGGUUAAAAUCUCCGACUAUGAUUGUGGGUUGUCUAUUGAUGUUUUUGGUCUAUUGUUCUAAGAAUUGGAGAGAGAGAGGUUAAAAUCUCCGACUAUGAUUGUGGAUUGUCUAUUGCUGUUUUUGGUCUAUUGUUCUAAGAAUCGGAGAGAGAGGUUAAAAUCUCCUACUAUGAUUCUGGGUUGUCUAUUGAUGUUUUUGGUCUAUUGUUCUAAGAAUUGGAGAGAGAGAGGUUAAAAUCUCCAACUAUGAUUGUGGGUUGUCUAUAUAUGUAUGGUUUUUGCAGUCACUUUCUGCCUACUUGUGUUUUUUAUAUUUAAAGUGCAUCUUUUAGUUCAGUGUGAUGGCACAUGCCCCUAAUCCCAGCUAUUCUGGAGACUGAGGCAGGAGGAUCACUUGAGCCCAGGAGUUUGAGCAGUACUAGACUUUACCUUGGGCAAAAAGGCAAGACCCCAUCUCUUAAAAAACAAAUACAUAGACGGACAGACAGACACACACACCACAGUGCAUCUUUUGUAGACAGCAUGUAGUAAAUCUUGCUAAUUUGUCCAUUUUAGCAAUCUCUGCCUUUUAACUGGAGGGUUUAAUUCAUUAAUAUUUAAUAUAAUUAUCAUUAUGGGUAGAUGUAGGUAUGUUAAUAUUUAAUAUAAUUACUGUUAUGGGUAGAUGUAGGUAUGUUAAUCGUUUUCUGAUUGUCCCUUUGUAUACACACGCUGCCCUUUAUUUUUCAGUGAUUUUAGGUUCAUAGCAAAAUUGAGCAGUUAAGUACAAGGAGUUGUGCCUCCCCGCUGUGCCCACCCAGGCACAGCCUUACCCUCAGCAUCCC
rnacentral:lncRNA from 1 species